CCAGUAGAACCGGUUUGUCCAGGUUCUCCUGGUCUCACAUACUGAGCACUGCAUUGCCAUGGGAACCAGGUGAGGUGAAAGAGCGAAAAGAGAUGCUGCCAAAAAAGAUGGGGCGCCGUUUUUCUGUGUCUAUGAAAUUAAAGGAAAAGGAAAAAGGAAAAAAGAAGAGUGGGAGGGAAUCCAGUGGGUGUGGACUGACUGUAACAGAAAACUAUCCACCACAUCCUUCCAGGCACCCGAGAGACCAGCAGGAAGUGGAGGACCGCGAGGAGACUUUGUCCCCUGUCGCCGGCUGGUAUGGGAAACAGAGGAUGAUCAAUAAUUAAUCUGACAACAGCAAUCACACCCUGGGACGCACUUUCCUCUCAUGUUAACAUCACUUCCAAAACAAAUUACCACCCAUGAAUAAUGCCAAGUGUUACUAGUGUAGUGUUUAAAACACAAUUUCUCAAACAAGACUUUGCAGCAUAUUUGUUUGGAAAAUGGAAUAAAAAUGUUAAGCACGAUGUAAAAUUUGAAAAUGACUUAAAAACGGGGAAUAAUAAGAUCUCCAAACUGAACUACCCAACAUCCUAUACUUUUCUUCUCAGUAAAUGUUGUUUAAGGAUUUUUCCAUUCGAAGUAUUUGACUAUUGCAAAUGUUGUAUUUUUUUUAGAUCCAGAGGGACUGAAUGAGGAUGUUAGUCACUUCUGUGGGUGGAGUCUUGUGGCAGGAGUUUCAGCUCACAGCCCCCAGAGACGUGGGCAGGCAGGUCAGGCUGUAAUGUCAUGAGUCAUGUCUGAAGUUUUUUCCUCAUCAUACCAAACAUACCAACAAUGCAAUCUGAAGCGCUACAUUCGUCCCGUUACAUGUAUGUGUCUAUGGCAUUUGAGCGUCAGGAUGUCAAACUCGAAAACUGCCAAAACCUUUUUCAACUUUCCGUAAAUCGAAUUGUUUAGGAGUUGUAGAGAAGAGAUCACUGCUUUCAGCACAAGGCACAGAAAAUAUGACUGCAGUCCUAUGAAGUAUUUUAUUUUACCCCAGGCUUGCAACUACACCACACGUCCACAAGAUGUCACUUGGCUCAACAAGAUCGCAUGUCGGCCCAUUUACUUGACAUGAAUUUACUCACAGUGACAGAGUUGUGGUUUCAACAUCGAUGAAGAUGCUAACAGUCAUCAUCAUCAUCAUCAUCAUCCACCUGCUCUGCCUCAUUCUCGUAGAAGUAUUCACUCUGCUGGAGGAGAGUAAACACGUACAAGUAUUCUAUUCUAUUUUUUUCUUUUUUUUUUAUCUGCUUGUAAUAUUUUGAGCAUUGCCAUAAGAGAGCCUGUGACCCAAGCAUUUCAUUGCAAGCGACUGCUUAAUGUAAUCGUUGUGCAUAUGACAAUAAACUCUUGAAACUUGAAA